rnacentral:rRNA from 1 species
GACGAACGCUGGCGGCACGCCUAACACAUGCAAGUCGAACGGACGAGAAAGAAGCUUGCUUCUUUCAAGUUAGUGGCGGACGGGUGGGUAACACGUGAGCAACCUGCCUCUGAGAGGGGGAUAGCUUCUGGAAACGGAUGGUAAUACCCCAUAAUGUAGUGAAACCGCAUGAUUUUACUACCAAAUGAAUUUCGCUCAGAGAUGGGCUCGCGUCUGAUUAGCUAGAUGGUGAGGUAACGGCUCACCAUGGCGACGAUCAGUAGCCGGACUGAGAGGUUGAACGGCCACAUUGGGACUGAGACACGGCCCAG